GGGCGUAAAGAGCUCGUAGGCGGUUUGUCGCGUCUGCUGUGAAAGCCCGGGGCUUAACCCCGUGGUGUGCAGUGGGUACGGGCAGACUUGAGUGCAGUAGGGGAGACUGGAAUUCCUGGUGUAGCGGUGAAAUGCGCAGAUAUCAGGAGGAACACCGAUGGCGAAGGCAGGUCUCUGGGCUGUUACUGACGCUGAGGAGCGAAAGCAUGGGGAGCGAACAGGAUUAGAUACCCUGGUAGUCCAUGCCGUAAACGUUGGGCACUAGGUGUGGGGGACAUUCCACGUUUUCCGCGCCGUAGCUAACGCAUUAAGUGCCCCGCCUGGGGAGUACGGCCGCAAGGCUAAAACUCAAAGGAAUUGACGGGGGCCCGCACAAGCGGCGGAGCAUGCGGAUUAAUUCGAUGCAACGCGAAGAACCUUACCAAGGCUUGACAUACACCAGACCGGCCCAGAGAUGGGUUUUCCUCUUUGAGGUUGGUGUACAGGUGGUGCAUGGUUGUCGUCAGCUCGUGUCGUGAGAUGUUGGGUUAAGUCCCGCAACGAGCGCAACCCUCGUUCUAUGUUGCCAGCACGUGAUGGUGGGGACUCAUAGGAGACUGCCGGGGUCAACUCGGAGGAAGGUGGGGAUGACGUCAAAUCAUCAUGCCCCUUAUGUCUUGGGCUUCACGCAUGCUACAAUGGCCGGUACAAUGGGUUGCGAUACCGUGAGGUGGAGCUAAUCCCAAAAAGCUGGUCUCAGUUCGGAUCGUGGUCUGCAACUCGACCACGUGAAGUCGGAGUCGCUAGUAAUCG
rnacentral:rRNA from 1 species